CAUCAUAUGUUUUUAUUAUGAAUCUGCAAGAGAAAAUUUGUUUGAAACAGUCCACAUAUGGAUUCCGUUCAUGCAUCAUGGAAAAACUGGGAUUCAUCAUUCCAAGACUUAUUAUGGGGUAAUAAUCCAAAUAUAUAUAUAUAUAUAUAUAUAUAUAUAUGAAUAAAGUGUUUUCUGAUACUUGCUUUGAGGUUGCUAUUGCACAAAUAACAGUGUUGCUANNNUGAUUGUUCAGUGCUAUGCAGUUACAGCACCUUACCUUUGUACGCUCUGGUCUCCCAGGUCUGCAAGCUAAUACCUUUUUCCUUCAUCCCAACCCCAACCUGCAUUUAUUGUUAAUGCUGUAUAUAGAAAAGUGAUGAUCAUAUGAGUGGCAGCUAACUUUUAAUAUUGAAUAUGUUGUGGGUGAUGAGUGAAGAUGGGAACAAACUACAAGAGAAGCAUGUUCUCUGCUCAUAUGCAAUCAGCAUUAGGCAGAUGGGCUCAUGCUCAAGCUGAUCCGCUCACAACAGAAUCAUCUGAGACUGUUCCACAGGAAAUGCAUGUUAUAGAACCAACUGCAGAAUCUGUAACUCAACAUUCCAUUAUUUCUCCAAUUCCUUAAAUUUCCAUAUUCCUUCCCUCCUCUUUUACUGAUCUCUUCAGCAACUAUACUUCAAAAUUUCCCUUCUUUCUUUUAUAGCCUUCACGAUGCUGAUUUAUAUUUAUUUAUUUGGAUUACAUCUUUAAAUAUCAUUUUGUAUUCCUCUUCUAUCCUUAAAAAAAGAAACUUACUGAUUAUCAAUUCUAUUUCUCAUUCAAUCUGAAUGAAAUUUCUCAACUCAUUAAAUUGGCAUGUGGUGGACAACCCUGCUUUAAAAACAAAAAAUAUAUUCUUUUGAAUCUGGAGAACUGCUUUUAGAGAAAAACAAGUAGAUUGAGGUUUUUCAAAAGAAAAUAGAUUUGUCAAAAACAGUUUAUAAAAAUAUAUUUUAAUAAAAAAAUAAUUUAUUGAAUAAAAAAAUUAUAAAC
rnacentral:lncRNA from 1 species